GAUGAACGCUGGCGGCGUGCCUAAUACAUGCAAGUCGAGCGAACGGACGAGAAGCUUGCUUCUCUGAUGUUAGCGGCGGACGGGUGAGUAACACGUGGAUAACCUACCUAUAAGACUGGGAUAACUUCGGGAAACCGGAGCUAAUACCGGAUAAUAUUUUGAACCGCAUGGUUCAAAAGUGAAAGACGGUCUUGCUGUCACUUAUAGAUGGAUCCGCGCUGCAUUAGCUAGUUGGUAAGGUAACGGCUUACCAAGGCAACGAUGCAUAGCCGACCUGAGAGGGUGAUCGGCCACACUGGAAACGAGACACGGUCCAGACUCCUACGGGAGGCAGCAGUAGGGAAUCUUCCGCAAUGGGCGAAAGCCUGACGGAGCAACGCCGCGUGAGUGAUGAAGGUCUUCGGAUCGUAAAACUCUGUUAUUAGGGAAGAACAUAUGUGUAAGUAACUGUGCACAUCUUGACGGUACCUAAUCAGAAAGCCACGGCUAACUACGUGC
rnacentral:rRNA from 1 species